rnacentral:rRNA from 1 species
UACAGAGGGGGCAAGCGUUGUUCGGAAUUACUGGGCGUAAAGGGCGCGUAGGCGGCCGCCUAAGUCAGACGUGAAAUCCCUCGGCUUAACCGGGGAACUGCGUCUGAUACUGGAUGGCUUGAGUUUGGGAGAGGGAUGCGGAAUUCCAGGUGUAGCGGUGAAAUGCGUAGAUAUCUGGAGGAACACCGGUGGCGAAGGCGGCAUCCUGGACCAACACUGACGCUGAUGAGCGAAAGCCAGGGGAGCAAACGGG